UACGGGGGGAGCAAGCGUUGUUCGGAUUUACUGGGCGUAAAGGGCGCGUAGGCGGUCAGCACAAGUCAGUUGUGAAAUCUCCGGGCUUAACUCGGAAAGGUCAACUGAUACUGUGCGACUAGAGUGCAGAAGGGGCAACUGGAAUUCUCGGUGUAGCGGUGAAGUGCGUAGAUAUCGAGAGGAACACCUGCGGCGAAGGCGGGUUGCUGGGCUGACACUGACGCUGAGGCGCGAAAGCCAGGGGAGCGAACGGG
rnacentral:rRNA from 1 species